GCAGACAUGCACACACUGACCAAACUGAAGGUACUGCACGCACACACACACACACACGCACAAACACACACAAACAUACACACACACACACACACACAAACAAACACACACACACACACACACACACACACACGCACGCACACACACACGCACGCACACACACACGCACACACACGCGCACACACACACGCACACACACAUACACACACACACACACACACACACACAGAAAAGUGUUAUUUUGUGUAUUUCCUGAAUCUGUAUAGUUUUGUUACAUUAAUGGUGGAUUAUGAAGUGUGUGUGUGUGUGUGUGUUUACUCUGACCUGCGGUGGGCUAAUGCAUGCCUGAUGUAUUGGUGUGUGUGUGUGUGUGUGUGUGUGUAGAGCCACAUGAAGGCGUGCUGUCAGCCGCUGCACGAGGACACGUUCGGGGGGAAUCUGAAGGUGGGUCUGGCUCAGGUCGCGGCGAUGGAGAUCAGCAAGGGAAACCACCGAGACAACAAAGCUGUGAUCCGCUACCUGCCCUGGCUAUACCACCCGCCCUCAGCCAUGCAGCAGGGACCCAAAGAGUUCAUCGAGUGUGUGUCGCACAUCCGUCAGCUGUCGUGGCUGCUGCUGGGUUCUCUUACCCACACUGCACUGCAGCAGGGCUCCUCCUGCUGUAUGCCCAUCCCGCUGGACGCCGGCUCACACAUCGCAGACCACCUGAUCGUCAUCCUGAUCGGCUUCCCGGAGCAGUCCAAGACGUCAGUGCUGCACAUGUGUUCGCUCUUCCACGCCUUCAUGUUCGCUCAGCUGUGGACGGUGUACUGUGAGCAGGCGUCCACCGCUCCCUCCAGCCAGAACCAGAACCAGAACCAGAGCGAGCUGUGCAGCGGAGCCCUGCUCACCGGCCUGGAGUUCUGGAGCCGCGUCACACCCAGCAUACUGCAGCUCAUGGCACACAACAGAGUGGUGAGAGACACACACACACACACUCAAUGACUCACAUAUGCACACACACACACACACACUCACUCUCUUUCUCUGUGUAUAUGUGUGUGUGUGUGUGUGUGUGUGUGUGUGUGUGUGUUCAGAUGGUGGAGAUGGUGUGUCUGCAUGUCAUCAGCCUGAUGGAGGCGCUGCAGGAGUGUAACUCCACCAUCUUUGUUAAGGUAGGAGACCCUCUGCAUCAGUGUCUGUCUAAAUGCUGAUGUGUGUGUGUAUAAUAGACAUUCAGUGUGUGUGUGUGUGUGUGUGUGUGUGUGCGUAUAAUAGACAUUCAGUGUGUGUGUGUGUGCGAGUGUGUGUGUGUGUGUGUGUGUGUGUGUGUGUGUGUGUGUGAGUGUGUGUGUGUGUGAGUGUGUUUGGUGUUGUAACGUCUUCUUCUCCUGUGUUCAGCUGAUCCCCAUGUGGCUGCCGAUGAUCCAGUCUAACCUGAAUGUAAGUGUUGAUCACAGCGCUGCUCCUGCUCUGCUCCACAGUCACAUGUUGAAGCAUCACUCCACUCCUCAUGCUCAUUUACAGCUCCUCUAGAGGCACACAGAUCAGUCUGACCAUGUCUGAGUCCAUUCAGCUGAUCUCUGGGUCUGGUGGAGCGCUUUUAGCUUAGCUUAGCAUAAAUCAUUGAAUCGGAUUAGACCAUUAGCACCCAAAAAUGAACAUUCUGUCAUUAUUUACUGGCCUUUAACUUGUUUCAAACCUUUAUGAGUCUCUUUUUUAUAUGUUAAGCACAAAAGAAGAUAUUUUGAAGAAUGCGGAAAACCUGUAACCAUUGACUUCUGUGAUAUUUGUUUUUCCUGCUGUGGAGGUCAAUGGUUACCGGUUUUCAGCUUUCUCAGAAUAUCANNNNNNNNNNNNNNNNNNNNNNNNNNNNNNNNNNNNNNNNNNNNNNNNNNNNNNNNNNNNNNNNNNNNNNNNNNNNNNNNNNNNNNNNNNNNNNNNNNNNGCAGAUUUUAACUCAAAUAAACAAGAGGCUUUUUAUUAAACGAGCAUUAGUUUGAGUGUGUGUUUGUGUCCUGAAAUCAUUUAUUGUAAACACACACUCACCGGCCACUUUAUUAGGUACACCUGUCUAACUGCUCACUAACGCACAUGUUUAAUCAGCCAAUCACAGGGCAGCAGCUCACUGCAUUUAGGCAUGUAGACAUGAUCAAGAGGAUCUGCUGCAGGUCAGAGCGAGCAUCAGAAUGGGGAAGAAAGGGGAUUUAAGAGACUCUGAACGUGGCAUGGUUGUUAUUUCAGAAACUGCUGAUCUACUGGGAUUUUCACGCACAACCAUCUCUAGAGUUUACAGAGAAUGCUCCGACAAACAGGAAAUAUGUGGUGGAACAGGAGAUUGGCAUCAUGGAUGUGCAGCCGACAAAUCUGCAGCAACUGUGUGAUGCUAUCAUGACAAUAUGGAGCAAAAUCUCUGAGGAAUAUCUCCAGCAGCUUGUUGAAUCUACAACACCGAGGAUUAAGGCAGUUCUGAAGGAAAAAGAGGGUCCAACCCGGUGCUAGUGAAGUGUACCUAAUAAAGUGGCCGGUGUGUGUGUGUGUGUGAUGAACUCCCACUGCUGAGACGCAGCAUCUGUCUGAGCUCUGCUGCCGUGUGUGUUUGAACUCAAAGGUCUUUCAGAAGCUCCUCAUUAAAGCCGCUCAUAUCAUCAUCAUCAUCAUCAUCAGCAGCAGCAGCAGCAGAGGAUCCACCAUGAUCAGUCCAGUGUUCUUACAAUAUUGAUCAUCUCCAAUAAUGCAGCAGACACGAGAUGUAGCCUGACCCUGUGAGCAUGUGUGAAUCAUCAACAGACACAGGUUAGUUUAGCCUCUGUAUUUACAGUCAUGCAUCAUUCAUACAUCAGCUUACACAUGUGGACUGAUGUACACGGCAGAAAUGCUGCGUUUGGGUCUUGUUUCUAGGCUAAAUGUCCACAAACUCUGAAAUCAGUCAGCAUUUUCUGGACAAGCAACAAUAUGGUCUUGUUUUCAGAAAUAAAUGAAGAGUUUUACCUUAAAACAAGCAAAAUAAUCUGACAAUGGGGGAAGACAGAUGCCUAUUUGCUUUCAAAUAACAUUAUUUAAAUGAGAAGCUCGCUGAACUUUCUGAAAACAGGACUAUCUGCUGUGCUUGUCUAGAAAAUGCUGACGGAUUUCAGAAUGUUGAGAUAUUUGGACUAGAGACAAGGCAAAACCAUAAAGAAAGGCAUUCUUCAGUGUGUUCUGUAGUAUUGUGUCUACUGUUGAUAUAUAUUGCACAUGUAAAUCACGCUGCACUGCAUCACUAUCCUGCAGAGUGUUCACCUGCUCUCCGUUUCUCCUCGUCCUCCAGCAGGUUGCAGUGCAUUAGAGUCCGUCGGUCGGCCAUAUUGGAGAGCAGAAGGUAAACAAACCCACUGAACCCAACAGAACUGUUUCACUGAGCUGAUCACUGCUGCAGAAACGGAUCAGUUAUAGAGAUGUUCUGGGCUGUGCUCAUCGCUCAGUUCGACUAUUACAGGAAGUGAAAAUAAAGGAAAAGAGCAGCGGGAGGAACUACACCUACUUCAUCUGCACACUAUGAUCUUCCUCACAGCAAACACCUGAGGAGAUGACAGACUCGUGAGCUCCAGAUGAACCCUCUGCUGCUGAAUCUAUAAUAUAGUGUCUAUAAUAACAGAGCGCUCCAUCAAUGAGGAGGUAGCUUGUCCCAAAGCUUGAACACUCUGGAGGUUCUCUUCCCAUCAGCAAUAGAGAUGAUCAGCAGCAGUGUACGUCCGUGUCAGACAGCUGCACUGCUGCUCUUCCUGAUGGAGAUGGACUCCUCCGCUGUCUGCUUCUUCAGGGGUUUCCUGCACAUCACAGUGAAUACAGCUUCAUUAGGGCUCUGCAAUAUGCAAUAUCUCUGUGUAAGUUAUUUCGUGAUGUCCCAGCAUACACUGUUCAUCAUUAAUAUGAGCGCAGUAAAGCACUGUGUUCACACUGAGCAAGUGAUCUAGCGGUAUCAGAUGUGGACGCUGUUCAUUUUUGGCAUUUCAUUAGUGUUUAUGUUACAUUAUUUUACAUGUUUAAUCAAACAUUUACCCUGAAGCUGGAAAUAAAGAGGGAAAUAUGAACUCAUAUGUAUGAGGAUGUUUCUAUAACUACACUCAUGACUCUACAUCACAUGUGGCCAAUAUCAUCUAUUGAAUGACUGGAUUAUCAGCAUGUGUCCUAUACUGGUAUAUAGCAUUAUCAGGAUAGCAGCUAUCUGUCAUAUCGCCCAGCCCUAAGUGUUAUUUAUAGUAGUGUUGGCUCAACAUUUAAUAUAUUACUUUAUUUUAAGCCUUGUUUAUUAUUAAAAACAAAACAAAUACAACACAUGCGUGCACACUAAUUUCCUUAAAGGGAAACCAAGAGAACUCGUGUUUACUUUCUUAUUUUUUAGUUUUAAGUGAUUUUGAUCAUAAUAUAUUACGUUUUCCCCAACGCUGAUCAUUAUUGACCUGACACACACACACACACACACACACACACACACACACACACACACACAGACAGAGAGAGAGGAGAGCAGGGAGAGCGCUGUGUUCUGCAGUGCUUAUAUUUAGGCUGAUUGUGUUUCUGCAGUGAAGCGGGCCGUGCGGGUCUGAAUGAGGCUUUAUUCUGACUGUAUAUCUGUGCUGGACUGCCGGAAGCUGCAUUACUGACAGUCAGAGCAUCAGGAAAAUAACAUUACAUAAUCAGCAGAUUCCCUGGAUAGACCAGCGCUCCUUCAGCUGCGGAGGAUCAGACAUCAUCUGCUGGAGAUCUGCUUUAUAGCCAGCAUCAAGCCGAGGAUCUGAGUGAAACGGUCCUGAAAUGAGGGAAAGAUGUAGCGCAGUGCUGGAUUUACUUCUUGGAUUGUUGAAUUUGAGUGGCUCACAAAAUAAGGACGAUUGAUGAAUGGAUGAGGGCGAACAGAAACAGGACACACACUGAUAGCUCCUCCCUAAAGAAUGAUAGCUCCGCCCUAAAGCACUGAUAGCUCCUCCCUAAAGCACUGAUAGCUCCUCCCUAAAGAGCUGAUAGCUCCGCCCUAAAUGAUUGAUAGCUCCACCCUAAAGGACUGAUAGCUUUUCCCUAAAGCUCUGAUAGCUCCGCCCUAAAGGUCUAAUAGCUCUUCCCUAAAGGUUUAAUAGCUCCGCCCUAAAGGACUGAUAGCUCCUGCAGCGCUGUAGACUGACACCUGCUGGACACAAUAAAGAAUACACAAAAAACAGCACAAUCCACACACACACACACUGAUCAUUAGCGCUCCUCUGUGUGUGUGUGUGUGUGUGUGUGU
ensembl:lincRNA